CUGUGUGGUUUUCUGGAGAGUCCAGGAUGUGGACUUGAAACUCUGAGAUUGGUGAGCUCUGGUUUGUCAGAGAUCAGCUGUGAUUAUCUGUCAGCAGUGCUGAAGUCCAACCCCUCCCAUCUGAGAGUGCUUGUCCUGUUGGGAAACAGCCUGAGUGAUCCAGAUGUGAAGCAGCUGUCUGAUCUUAAGGAGAGUCCAGACUACAGACUGGAGACUCUGGUGUGGAGAUCAUUGCACUAAAGAGAACGGUGUGUGUGCUGAGAGAGGAUGAGCUGUGUCCUGAUGAUCCAGAGAAGUUGAAGCAGCAGCAGCUUGUGUGUAGAGAUGCUCUGACUGGGCCAAGUUACUGGGAGGUGGAGUGGAGAGGAGAGCUUCAUUCAGCAGUGACUGACAGAGGAACGAGAAGAAGUGCAGAUGACUGGCAGUGCUGCAGAGUGAACUGCUCUGAGAACAGCUCCACUGUCAGACACAAUGUAGAGUCCAGCAUCAUCUCUGUGUGUCCCUGUGGAUCUAACAGAGGAUCAUCAGUGGAUCUGGACUACUCUGCUGCUGCUCUGUCCUUCUACAGUCUCUGCACAGUCUCUGUGUGACACUGGCUUCAGACUCUCCUGGAUCAAACUCACCUGGAAAGGCUUUCAAACACCUUUGAAUAAUAAACAUCAUGUUUUUAUAAGAUAAAUAUCAUGUUUUCAUGUAUGUGUGCAGUUUGACCCUCAGUGGAUGAAUCAGUGCUUAAUUCAAGAUUCAAAAUUCAAAGCGUUUAUUGUCAUGUGUACAAAGAAAAAGCAUUUCUCUGUGCAAUUAAGUUUUUUCUUUGCUGUCCACACACAGAUGUUGAUUAACAAUACAAAUAGAAAUAGAACAGAUAAAAUACAAAUAGUAUAAAUAAAUAAAUGAAGACAACAAAAGAAAGACAAAAAAAUUGAAGUGUGAAACACGUGUGUGCAAAAGAGCACUGAGCUUAAAAUGCUGCCUUAAUAUGCAAGAUGAUCUGAUGUGCAAAAUGAUUAUUACUGUUCAAAACAGGUCAGCUGUUCAAGAGUCUAAUUGCAGUGGGGAAGAAGAAGUUGAGUCAUCAUCAUAAUAAUAAUGAUAAUAAUAAUAAUAAUAAUAAUAAUAAUAAUACAUUUUAAUUUAAGAAAGCGCCUUUCAAAACUCUCAACAUAACAUCCAUCCAUCUUUUUCGGCUUUAUGUGGGUCGCAGGGGCAGCAGCCUAAGCAAAGAAGCCCAGAGCUCCUGCCAGGGAGGUCUCAGGUCUGAGAGAGUUGGACCUGAGUAACAAUGACCUGCAGGAUUAAGAAGUGAAGCUUCUGUCUGCUGGACUAAAGAGUUCACAGGGUGCAGUGGAAAAUCUCAGGUCAGGGUUCAAACUUUUCCACAGAUUAUCAUUUAAAAUGUGAAUUAUACUAUUGUAUAAAGAGGUAACCUUAAUAGAGCUGUCAGGUGAACGUUUCUUUACUUUUGAGUGGAUUAUUAGACUUUGAAUUACUAUAUAAAAUUUGACAUAGUCAUGUUUGUUUAUAUAAAAAGUACUUCAUGUACUUGGUAAUGUAGAGAUUUAGGGCUACUUUCACUUCCUGUUUUAUUUUGUGUAAUUAUCGCCUCUGGAGUCAUAGAUUUAGUUUUACUUCCUCCCCUGGCAUUGUCUACAUUUAUUUCAGCUGUAAAAGGAUUUAUUGAGUGUUUAUUGAUUUUUCUAUUCUUUUUUUUAA